rnacentral:rRNA from 1 species
UGGGGAAUUUUGGACAAUGGGCGCAAGCCUGAUCCAGCCAUGCCGCGUGAGUGAAGAAGGCCCUCGGGUUGUAAAGCUCUUUUGUCCGGAAAGAAAAGCUUCGGGUUAAUACCCCGGGGUUCUGACGGUACCGGAAGAAUAAGCACCGGCUAACUUCGUGCCAGCAGCCGCGGUAAUACGAAGGGUGCAAGCGUUACUCGGAAUUACUGGGCGUAAAGCGUGCGUAGGUGGUUGUUUAAGUCUGAUGUGAAAGCCCUGGGCUCAACCUGGGAAUGGCAUUGGAAACUGGGCAGCUAGAGUGCGGUAGAGGGUAGUGGAAUUCCCGGUGUAGCAGUGAAAUGCGUAGAGAUCGGGAGGAACAUCUGUGGCGAAGGCGACUGCCUGGACCAGCACUGACACUGAGGCACGAAAGCGUGGGGAGCAAACA